AGCUAGGUGGUGUCUGCAGAUAUUUUUAGGGUGAACUCUGUCCCACUGUUUCAGUCUUUGCUGAAGAUAUUAAACAUUACUUUUCCCAGUACAGACCUCUGAGGGACAUCGCUUGUCACUGAUCUCCGUUUGGACAUGGAACAUCUAUGAUAUCAUUGAGCUGUCAACCACCACCCUCCAGAUGUGACUAUCCAACCAAUUCCUCAUCUGCCAAACAGUUCAUCCAUCAAAUCCAUUCCUCUCCAAUUCUGAGUUCUCAUUUUCAGCUGUUACCUGGCAUGAAUUUGCACAGAAGAACCUCCCCUGUCAUCAGAAGCCAGAAAAAUCCAUUCAGAUUAGGAGACGGAAGGAGAUUUAGAAAGAGAGUCUCUGUUGGAUCAUGCUUGUGCCUUCACAAAAGCCAUAUUUUUAUUAUGCCCUUACAUAACCUGUCCCCUGUUUCAAAUACAGCUUGAAAAAAACCUCCUUCAUACGAGAACAUGACCAGCUGAGUAAAUAAAAAAACCUGUUGAACUUGUGGAUUGUACUUACUGAGGCCCUAACUAUUUUGAUACAUGUGCCUGCAUAGCAAUACAUUUUGGAGAGAAAUAGUGAUAUUGAGACACAUGAAAACAGUUGGUAAAGGAUACAAGUUAACCUGAAAACAUAUUCCUGGUAUCAUGGUUAAAGGAAAGGGAGAAGUGCUCAAAGGUAAAUUCAGGUCAAUUGGCGUCUUCAAAAACAAGACUUGGAUGACUUUUAAAACAAAGUCAUAUGCAAAGAGGGAACAAGUCACAGAAACACCAAAUUUACCACAGUGUCAUGAGAGUGGAAAGGAGGAAAAAAAAAUGACAAAAAAGAACUCAGCAGUAAAAUGAAUAUAUUCAUGCAGUGUCAGUCUCUCCAGACAAGAAAUGGUGCCAAGCAGAACCGCAUCAGCGUGUGGCCGCUUCUUGCACUGACACUAAAAACAUCUGUUGAGGUACAGCAUUUAUACUGUCUGCCAAACAAGAGUUUUUUAAUCUUAAAACAUAUGCUGGAAAUAGGAAAAUUUGGACAAGAACAAAAAGAAAAAAGAGGGGUGGGUGGCCAAUAAAUUAAAAGUGAGAAGUGGGGAAGGACAGAUUGGAGACAAUGUUUUCCACAUAGUGCAUCAUAGUUAAUUCAAGUCAUCUCAGGUCACCAGAGAAAGGAAAGCUCAUGAAGGAAUUCACAGAUUGCUCAGAGAAGUUGAAAGCAACAAAGUGGUGUUCUUCAUGUUCAUCCUUCAAACAUUGGGUUUUGAACAGUUAACCAUAAAACUCAGGUUUUAACAAGUCUGGGAAUACAUCUAACUUGAAAUGCAAAAACUGAUGCUGACAGCAAUACUCUUAUUUUUCAGGCAUGCUUAUCUUGCAUUUUUUGCAGAAAGCAUGUAUUUAAGCCCCCCAGCUGAGCCAGGGCCUAAUAUUGGCACUUCAAAAACUGUGCCUCCAGCCUGUCUGGAUAAACACUUAUGCAAACGAAUUUUAGAUACAUACAAUAAGUAAAUUUUUUAAAGAUUAUCACCUUUACAUUUAUUUCUCUAGUUGAAGAAGCUAGAAUAGAGAAUUCAGAAAUAUUUCAGUGAGAAUAAUUGUCAGAUAUAACCAAAAAAAGUUAUUCAACUAUUUCUAGGAUAUUUUUCAAAUAAAGUUGCUAAGUAUUCCUCCUGAUAAAAUAUUCUCAUACAAGGUGGCUUAUUUUAAUUUCUGAAAUAAACUAUGUAUUUUCAAGUACAUUAUUUGGUCAAGUCAUCUACGUGAUCCAAUUCCUGAAUAUUGUAAACAUUUAUGAAUAGAAGAUUUGAUUUUGUGUCACUGACCCCUUCAAGUCAAGAAAUUCUUUCAUUCAAAUUAGUGUUUCUUUGGUACCAUCUCAGGUUUACAGCAUGUGGUUCAUGUCUUAAGAUAGAAACAGACAAUGAAUCUGCUUUUAUACAAUUUGUCCACUCAAAUAAUUCCAUGUAAAUUGUGCUUUCAGAAGAGAAAGUGUGCCUAGAGUAAAAUGCAGCCCAUAGAAAUCAAGGAGGAAACUCCCACUCUCUUCAACAGACUUGAGAUUUCAUCUCUAGAAUACUUGACUUUCAAGUAAAAAAGAUUUAUGCUUAGUGAAUCACUAGAUACGGUAAACUGCACGUUUUCAAAAUCUGCAUCAAAUUAAUUGUGCUGUAUAUCUUUCAAGAUUUGCUUUAUUUUAUUUCAGUUCCAUUUAUUAAAUAUAAUAUUCUUGAAAAACAGCAUAGAAAUAGAAUGGAUUAAACACACUAUCACUUACAGAAGUUUUUGGUCCUUCUAAUGUGGCAAAUGGGACAAUUUAGACUUUGGAUUGUGGUAGAUUACACCCACUUUAGACAAUUUCUUUCUGGGAUGUAAAACAUGUUGGACAAUACGAAAAUCAAAUUCUAGAAUGAGGUGAUAGGAUAAAAUGGGAGAUGUUUCCUAAGGACAGCAUUCAGAGCUACAUAAUUUUCUGCCCUACUUGAUAAUUUUUUUGGCUUUGACUGAGUUCUGUGUAUUAAGUGAGUAUGUAGCUGAGUUUUACUUGACAUUUACUUGUAAAAAUACAGAGAUUUUGUGUGCCCACAUAACAGUUAUUUUCAAUUUUUUUUUUCUUCCUAAAUGCUAAGAGAAUAUUUUCUAUGAUCAUCAAAAAGCAAAAGACAGUUUAAACCUAUGGAUACCUCUCCCUUUCUUGUCAAUGCCUUACAUUUGGAAAAGGUGCAAUUAGCACAGGUAUUGGUGAAAAUUUCAUUAGUUCUUCUGUUAAAAUGCUGGUAACAAAUUGCAGUUAUUUCUUCAUGAUUGGAAGACAAUGUUUUAAAAGACCACUAGUAAAUAAAGAGUUCUAGGCUGAAUUUUUCAAUCAGAUAAUUUCUGUUAAAGUUCAAGAUUAUUCAGAUGUAUCAGAGCUUUUUUCCUCCCAGUAGGAGACUUUCCGGUGCUCUGCAACAAGUGGCAACAUAGAUCAUGUGUAAAUGCAUCUUGCAAUAUCCUUCCUCCAGUGAAUGCUAAGUUUCUUGUGAGACCAAAGCUCUGGCUGAAUCUUUGGUGUUUCUGAACACAUCCUCUCUUUUAGGGCUGUGAACUAAAUUUGCAGAUUAUCUCCACUUUAAUUUGCAUUCUUAUUUCUCAAAGAAAGCUGACUAACCCUUUCUUCCUUGCUCAAUAUUUGUUUGUCUUCUUUAGUGAGAAUCCACACGCUGCUCAUUGCAGUAGGGAAGCCUGAGCUGUAAGUGAAAUAUUGGUGACUAAUAGCUGUUGACCUGCAUGUUCCGAAACAAUUCAUACACAAUGGAUUAAACAAAUACAUAUAUUAACAUGAUGGUGUGAUUAGAAAAUUCAUCCUCUGGUACUUGUCUGGGCUCAAUUGACCAUAAUCAAUGACUGAUUUAGGUCUUUGAUUCUGUAAAAAAGCCCCAAAACACCACAACUGGUGGCAUUUAUGUUUUUUUCAGUUCUUUAGACAACAUAAGAAAAGCAGUUUAAGGUUUCACUAAACUGUUGAGUUUUGAAAAAACAUUUUUCCCCUUAAUUUGAACCAUCAUUUUCUAAAAGAAAGUUAAAUUAAAAAAACAGCUAACAUGUUUUUGUAAUUAAACAGAGUAUUGGGCUAUGCAAACAAUAAAGAUCCUUGUUUGAAAUUAAUUCUUGUCCUGCUUCUGGGAUUACCAGGGGAAUAAAAUUAUAGCAAAACAAAACAAAAAAACCUGCUACAGUCUAGAACUUGCACUUUACCAGAAGCAAAAAGAAAUUUAGACUCAAUAUGAGUUCUAUUCUGUUUCCAAAAAGCAUGAUUCUUGAGUUUGAUAUAAAUUUGACAAAAUGAAAAAUCUCAUUACUCCUGUCACUAGAAACCAAAGUUUUACCUCUAAUUUUUAUUCUUUAUAGCUCGCUAGUUUACUUUUCCUCCUCUGUACCUAAGGGACAUUUUAAUUCUCAACAUUGUGAAAACAAGAACAGAGCAUCUAGUCAAAAGAUAUUGUCUACAUUAUAAAGAAAAAGAUUCCUCCUAGGGCAGGAAGAUUGCCUGGAGGUGGGAAACAUCUCAUAGAAAAAAUCUGAAAACUUUUAGGUUGACUGUAUUCUUCUUUUGUAUUUAUGUGAAAAUUAAAGAAAACCAAAAAACCCACAAACAAAACCACAAGAGGCAACAUCUGACCGGUGAUCCUGUGUUAAAAACCCCAGAAACUGUUUUUAGAAACAGGUCAUAUUUCUGUGAGGAAACAUUGUUUGUCAAUUAGCACAGUGAAACACUCAAGUUGGCUUCAAAAUUUUAAGUCUUGUAGGAUAUCAUAGGAUUAAACGUAUCAGUUUUGGGAUCUCAUUCUUCUGAGGGUGCCUCUCUGCUGUAACUACACAUCAGUCCUUUGCUCUGUUGAAAUCUAACCAUCUGUUUUGUGUAGAGCCACUUGCAUAAACUAUUGCUCCCCUUAUUCUUUGUGUACAGAGCUGCCUUUUGGAACACAAUGUCUGGUCAAGUUCCUUGGCCCACAGAUUUCUUCGUCUUAUCCAGUUGUCCUGCCCCAAGUUCCCCAGUUGUGCUUGGGUUCUCAAUAGUCCAAAGUCAACAUUGUAGAGGCACGGGCAUGCUGAGUUUGUGGUUGAGGGCACAUCCAAAUAUUGCUACAUCCCAGAUUUGGUUUAAAUACUUAGCAUAGCCCAUUUAUUCUAAUUAAAUAAAUGAUAUUUCUCCAAAGGAAAGAAGAAUGGGGAGAGAAAAUGAGCAGGGAUCAACUGCUGAAGUGUUCCCUGUGUCAAAAAACAUGAGCAUUCCUGUAACAUUACACUGCCUCUGUCACCAGGGACUCAGCGGCCCAGUUUCAAGUUUUUGCUCAGUGCUCCAAGAGUCCCAAGUCACAGAGCUGUGCCCAUGACUUAAUACUGCCAGCAUAAAGCAGAUUUUCUGAGGAAAUUUUUCAAGUUCUUUUUUUUUUUUUAAAUCAUGUUUUCUUCAAGUUGAAGAGUCAUAUUGCCUCCCUAAGGGCCAGAGGCUAACACGUGGAAUAGAUAUCAAUGAAUUGUUUUCAUCCUACAAGCUGAUGACCAUGUCAAAAUUCCUUCAGUCUCUUCCUUCUCUACUGGGGAGUUUUAAAGAUAUAAUUUUCUUUGCUAUGAUACCUAUCAGGUAAAUGGUUUGUUGACCAUUUUAAUGAAGUUUAUGUACACAUUUAAAAUGUUUAAAAAUGUGUCAGAAUGUUGAUUUAUCAUGUUACUUUAUUAAUUUUUUUGUUCCAGCUUCCAUUUCUUCAGGCUGGCAUUCAAAUGAUAUAAAUUUUCAGCGAAUGCUUAUGGUUACUUUAUAUCCUUUUAAGACAGGGGAUUUUGCUGUAUCACUCACUACAUAAUAAAAUAAAUGGAGGAAAACUUCUCA